rnacentral:rRNA from 1 species
AAGCUAGCGGCGGACGGGUGAGUAACACGUGGGCAACCUGCCUCAUAGAGGGGAAUAGCCUUCCGAAAGGAAGAUUAAUACCGCAUAAGAUUGUAGCUUCGCAUGGAGUAGCAAUUAAAGGAGUAAUCCGCUAUGAGAUGGGCCCGCGGCGCAUUAGCUAGUUGGUGAGGUAACGGCUCACCAAGGCGACGAUGCGUAGCCGACCUGAGAGGGUGAUCGGCCACAUUGGGACUGAGACACGGCCCAGACUCCUACGGGAGGCAGCAGUGGGGAAUAUUGCACAAUGGGGGAAACCCUGAUGCAGCAACGCCGCGUGAGUGAUGACGGCCUUCGGGUUGUAAAGCUCUGUCUUCAGGGACGAUAAUGACGGUACCUGAGGAGGAAGCCACGGCUAACUACGUGCCAGCAGCCGCGGUAAUACGUAGGUGGCGAGCGUUGUCCGGAUUUACUGGGCGUAAAGGGAGCGUAGGCGGACUUUUAAGUGAGAUGUGAAAUACCCGGGCUCAACUUGGGUGCUGCAUUUCAAACUGGAAGUCUAGAGUGCAGGAGAGGAGAAUGGAAUUCCUAGUGUAGCGGUGAAAUGCGUAGAGAUUAGGAAGAACACCAGUGGCG